CCUACGGGAGGCUGCAGUGGGGGAUAUUGCACAAUGGGGGAAACCCUGAUGCAGCGACGCCGCGUGUGGGAAGACGGUCUUCUGGAUUGUAAACCACUGUCCCCAGGGACGAAAAUGACGGUACCUGGGGAGGAAGCUCCGGCUAACUACGUGCCAGCAGCCGCGGUAAUACGUAGGGAGCAAGCGUUGUCCGGAAUUACUGGGUGUAAAGGGAGCGUAGGGGGGGAGGCAAGUUGGGGGUCAAAACUACGGGCUCAACCGUUAGUCGCAAUUGAAACUGCAAGUCUUGAGUGAAGUAGAGGCAGGAGGAAUUCCUAGUGUAGCGGUGAAAUGCGUAGAUAUUAGGAGGAACACCAGUGGCGAAGGCGGCCUGCUGGGCUUUUACUGACGCUGAGGCUCGAAAGUGUGGGGAGCAAACAGGAUUAGAUACCCUAGUAGUC
rnacentral:rRNA from 1 species